CUUAAAAUAUUGGUUUUCGGAUCACCUGAAUUGAAUUGUGAUAUGUUACUAUUUUCUUAUCAUAUCACAGUACUAUUCCGGGCAUCCGUGAAACAAUUUACUUAAUGU